AUAUUGGUCAAUGGCCGGAAGGCUGAACCAGCCAAGCCGCGUGAGGGAAGACGGCCCUACGGGUUGUAAACCUCUUUAGCCGGGGAACAAGGCGCGGGACGCGUCCCGCCGUGAGCGUACCCGGAGAAUAAGCAUCGGCUAACUCCUUGCCAGCAGCCGCGGUAAUACGGAGGAUGCGAGCGUUAUCCGGAUUUAUUGGGUUUAAAGGGUGCGUAGGCGGUCCGGAAAGUCAGCGGUAAAAGCCCGGGGCUCAACCCCGGCGAGCCGUUGAAACUGUCGGACUAGAGACGGCGAGAAGUACGCGGAAUGCGCGGUGUAGCGGUGAAAUGCAUAGAUAUCGCGCAGAACUCCGAUUGCGAAGGCAGCGUACCGGCGCCGGCCUGACGCUGAGGCACGAAAGCGUGGGUAUCGAACAG
rnacentral:rRNA from 1 species